GUGGCCGGGGGUGGCCACGGCCACCCCCCGUAGAAUCUCGGCCACCCCAUUGGCCACCCCAAGCACCACAUCAGAGCGGUUAAAAGUUUUGACGGCUGUGGAAAAAUGCGGAACCUUUCUCGCACCGCUAGUACACUGUCGGACCCUUUAGCCACGCGCAGCGCGCACACAUCCUGUAUUUGAAUUAAACGGCUCAAGCAUGGCCUGAGAAUGCCUGUUACCACCUGACGCUUCGACCGGCACCUGCGGCUAAGUGAAGAAACGCAAAACAGAAAGGUAUGAUAUCAUAAUGGAUGUUGUUUUUGUCUUCUAAUAACUGUGACUAUCCCACCCAUGACUAUCUAUUUUGCGAAGUUUAGAAGCAAGCUAGAUCGGAGGAGAACAUAGUAAACUGUUAAAAUUGCUAUAUGCUAUGCUGUAUUUGAUAACUACGUUGCCAGAACGUGUUAUGAUUGUGUCAGGUAUAUACAGUAUGCAUUUUGGAUAGGUGUCAUUAAAGAGGGAAAAAUAAUGAAGAGGAAGAAGGCAGACAUAGCGUCCUUCUUCAGGGCAAGUGGAAAGAAGACAGCUAAGGCAAAGAAUGAGGAUGAGAUGGAGAAAAAACAGGCAGAGAGUGAGGAUGAGGAGCCCCCAGAGAGCAGCAACUUAAAUGGACCUCCAGAUGUUUCUGAAAGAUUGAUUGAGAGCAGGACAGAAGAGUCCUCCCUGAGGAGUGGCCCCAGUGGAUCCCCAGAUUCCCACAGAGAAGAUUCAGACAGCGAGAGAGAGGAGCCUCCAACAACGAGUGGCGGCCCAAGUGGACCUCCAGGUAUACUCACUCUUUCACACAUACUGGACACUUUAAUUCCACUUCAGUUUUGCCCAAUCUGAUACAGUGGCCUGAUAAUUCAUAAACAGGUAUGAGUCAUACCACUCACCUCAACUUGAGU